GGAUUAGGAAGUGGGGCCUUUGGGAGGUGAUUAGGUCAUGAGGGUGGAGUUUUUAUGCAUGGGAUCAUAAGAGGGGCCUUUGAGAGCUCCCCUCUACUUUCUUUGUGAGGUUGCAGUGAAGAGACAGCUGUCUAUGAGCCAGGAAGGUUGCCCUCAUCAGACACUGAGUCUGCAGUUACCUUGGUGUUGGACUUAUCUGCCUCUAGAACUGUGAGAACUAAAUUUCUAUUGUUUACAAACUACUUAGUUUAUGGUAUUUGUUACAGUAGUCCAAGAGGACUAAGACAGAUGUGUUUUGCCAUGCAGUUGUUUUUUACUUCAAUAUGCUUAAAUUCACUUUUGUUAAUGGCUUCUUGAUUUUGUGUCAUAGUCAAAGACCAUCCCUACUCUGAAGUUCUAAAAAUUUGUUUUGUUCUAGUCCUUUCAGUUUUCUUUUUCACGUUUAAAUGUUUGGCCAUUGGAUUUGGCUUCGUGUUAACUGUGAGGCUUUAAUCAUGAGAUGAGUGCUGGGUGUUAUAAUGUAUGUUGACAAAUUGAAUUUAAAUAAAAUAAAAUUAAAAAGUGUGAAGCUUUAAUCCAAAUUCAUUUUUUUUUUCAGAUGGCCACCCAUUUGUCCCAAGAACGUAUGCACUCAUUUAUGAUUUUGGCAUCAGGAUCAUUUCCCUCAACGAUGGUGAAUCUUUUAACAUUCCAGCAAUUCAGACAAAGAACAGUUGAAGAUAUCUCAGAAAGUUUGUUGACCUCUGGAUUAUAA
rnacentral:lncRNA from 1 species